AUUGAACGCUGGCGGCAGGCCUAACACAUGCAAGUCGAGCGGAUGAAGGGAGCUUGCUCCUGGAUUCAGCGGCGGACGGGUGAGUAAUGCCUAGGAAUCUGCCUGGUAGUGGGGGAUAACGUCCGGAAACGGGCGCUAAUACCGCAUACGUCCUGAGGGAGAAAGUGGGGGAUCUUCGGACCUCACGCUAUCAGAUGAGCCUAGGUCGGAUUAGCUAGUUGGUGGGGUAAAGGCCUACCAAGGCGACGAUCCGUAACUGGUCUGAGAGGAUGAUCAGUCACACUGGAACUGAGACACGGUCCAGACCCCUACGGGAGGCAGCAGUGGGGAAUAUUGGACAUGGGCGAAAGCCUGAUCCAGCCAUGCCGCGUGUGUGAAGAAGGUCUUCGGAUUGUAAAGCACUUUAAGUUGGGAGGAAGGGCAGUAAGUUAAUACCUUGCUGUUUUGACGUUACCAACAGAAUAAGCACCGGCUAACUUCGUG
rnacentral:rRNA from 1 species